UAGCGGCGGACGGGUGAGUAACACGUGGGCAACCUGCCUGUAAGACUGGGAUAACUUCGGGAAACCGGAGCUAAUACCGGAUAGNNNCUUUUCNNNNAUNNNAGAAGAUGGAAAGACGGUUUNNNCUGUCACUUACAGAUGGGCCCGCGGCGCAUUAGCUAGUUGGUGAGGUAAUGGCUCACCAAGGCGACGAUGCGUAGCCGACCUGAGAGGGUGAUCGGCCACACUGGGACUGAGACACGGCCCAGACUCCUACGGGAGGCAGCAGUAGGGAAUCUUCCGCAAUGGACGAAAGUCUGACGGAGCAACGCCGCGUGAACGAAGAAGGCCUUCGGGUCGUAAAGUUCUGUUGUUAGGGAAGAACAAGUACCAGAG
rnacentral:rRNA from 1 species